ACGCUGGCGGCGUGCUUAACACAUGCAAGUCGAACGGGGCGAAGUGAUAGCUUGCUAUUAUGGAGCCUAGUGGCAAACGGGUGAGUAACGCGUAGGCAACCUGCCCUUCAGAUGGGGACAACACCUCGAAAGGGGUGCUAAUACCGAAUGACGUUUCCUGGUCGCAUGACCUGGAAACCAAAGGCCGGGCAACCGGUCACUGAAGGAUGGGCCUGCGUCUGAUUAGCUAGUUGGUGGGGUAACGGCCCACCAAGGCGACGAUCAGUAGCCGGUCUGAGAGGAUGAACGGCCACAUUGGGACUGAGACACGGCCCAAACUCCUACGGGAGGCAGCAGUGGGGAAUCUUCCGCAAUGGGCGCAAGCCUGACGGAGCAACGCCGCGUGAGUGAAGAAGGUUUUCGGAUCGUAAAGCUCUGUUGAGAGGGACGAGAGAUAUAAUCAGGAAAUGGGUUAUAGAGGACGGUACCUUUCGAGGAAGCCACGGCUAACUACGUG
rnacentral:rRNA from 1 species